rnacentral:lncRNA from 1 species
ACUUUGGGUCCUUUCAAAUCCAGGUCAACAUCAGGUAUGGAGAUCUUGGGAGCUUUGAUAUUUAUUUCAGGCAUCUUGAACUUGGGGCCCUUUAGUUUCGCAUCUGGACCUUCGAUAUUCACAUCAGGAACAUCAACGUCCACUUUGGGUCCUGAGACAUCAAUGUCAGCCUUGGGCAGGUUCACAUCCACAUCUGGGCCCUCUCCUUUGAAGCCAGGCAUGCUGAACUUGGGCAUUUUCACUUUGGGCAUUUUUAAGUGCCAGUCUGGGCCUUGAACGUCCACAUCUGGGCCCUCUCCUUUGAAGCCAGGCAUGCUGAAUUUGGGCAUUUUCACUUUGGGCAUUUUUAGGUGCCAGUCUGGAGCUUGGACAUCGGGGGCAUUUACAUC